GAGCCAUGAAGGAAGCCAGCUUGGGCUGCAGUCAACAUGUGGAGGAGGUCUAAGCUCAGAGACCCACAAAGAAGUUCAGAUAGAGCCCUGAUCAUACCAUACCUGAGGCCUAUACCAUCUGUCGACUCCCUGUUUCAAGAGAUAGUGUGUCUUCUGACUGUUCAAAUCAGUUUGCCUCAGGAUCAACCCUCCGUGGAAGAAUUUUCUCCUCUACGUAUAGAGCCAACGGAACAGAUGAAGAGAGACCAGCACUCGCAUGUUCGUGGCAGCGCUCGUCAUGAUGGCCAAGAUGUGGGAACAACCUUAAUGUCCUUCGGGCCUGGGACUUCCUGUGGAGAAGAGGCCUGUUCCGUUCAUCAUUGGCUCCCAGUGGCUCCGUGA
rnacentral:lncRNA from 1 species